GAAAAUCUGUGUACCCGGAGAAUCUGUUUGUCUCCAGGGAACCUAUAUACUUCGGAUAUGGAAAUAGAUCCAAAGAAAUUUGUGAAGGUAACUCAACAGACCCUAGAGCAGUUGCAGGCAAAUAUAUCUUUUGUGCAUUUGACUAUAAAGGUAACAUAACCGUAAGUCAGCAAUUGGAGGAAGUGCGCAGAACUAGAGCCGCCGGAGCUAUCAUCAGUGCAGACUCAAGGCAAAAUCUGUUUCCCGACGACUUUGACAUGCCUUUCGUUACAGUAAACCUGAAUAACGGAGAGUUAGUGAAGAAGUACAUAAUCAAUGCGGAUAAUGCAACGGUUAGUAUCAAGUUCCAGAUCACGAUAUUGGGCACCAAGCCAUCUCCACAAGUAGCCAAUUUUUCAUCACGAGGGCCUUCUCUUCGAUCUCCAUGGAUUCUAAAACCUGAUAUAUUGGCUCCAGGAGUUGAUAUCUUGGGGGCAUGGGUUCCCAACAGGCCUAUAGCUACAAUUCGUGAUCUUGGUAAGCUACUCACCGAAUAUGCUCUCGAAUCCGGCACAUCAAUGUCUUGCCCUCAUGCAGCUGGUAUAGCCGCGCUGCUUAAAGCCACCCACCGUGAGUGGAGUUCAGCUGCCAUCCGUUCAGCAAUGAUGACAACAGCUGAUGUUCUUGAUAAUGCUUAUGAUAUGAUCACUGACAUAUCAACCGGAGCUGCUGGAACUCCUCUUGAUUUCGGUGCAGGGCAUAUAAAUCCCAACAAGGCCAUGGAUCCAGGACUUGUGUAUGAUAUUGAGAUCCAGGACUAUCUCAACUACUUGUGUGCAAUGAACUACACUAGUCAACAGAUUCGAAUUGUCACAGGGACAUCGGAUUUUACAUGUGAGCAUGGCAAUCUGGAUCUUAAUUAUCCAUCAUUUAUCAUCAUCUUGAACAACAGCAACACUGCUAGCUUCACCUUCAAGAGGGUAUUGACAAAUGUAGCCGAUACCAGGUCAACUUAUACUGCAGCAGUGAAGGCUCCAGUGGGUAUGACAGUGACUGUGGAACCAGCAACAUUAUCCUUUGCCGGAAAGUUUAGCAAAGCUGAGUUCAAUUUGACUGUGAACAUUAAUCUGGGAAAUGCUUUUAGUCCCAAAAGUAACUUUCUUGGAAAUUUUGGGUAUUUGACAUGGUAUGAAGUUAAAGGAAAGCAUACGGUGAGAAGCCCCAUUGUCGCUGCUUUUGCUAAUAAUUCUAGAGGAGUGACAAUAGUUGAAAAUAUAGCAUAGACAACAGUAGAAAGAAUUCAAGUAAUAAACGACUCUUGGCAAAUAGAAAUCCAUCUUAUGCAGAGUUUGUUAUUCGGACUUCCUGUUAAUGUUGUAAGAAAUGACUAGAUGCUUCAUAAUAGUCUUGAGAAUUUCGUCCAAAAUAUUUCAAGUAAGAAAUGUUUUAGGAAAAUAUUAAGGAAGGUUACUGUGAUAUUCAAUAUUUUUAGAAUAAUUUGGAUAUACUUAUAUUUUUGUCGAAAUGGCAGUAAAAGAGUUCUUUUUUUUUUUUUUAACUUUACUAUUUGUAUCAUUAACGAUUUCAGAUCAUUUUGCAAACGAAUCAACCAAUAGUGGCUAAAUCUUAAGCUGCUGGCCAGCAAAAUGAAUUAAUGAAAAUAAACAUCAGACCUAGCCAUGAUCAGUCAAUUUAGCGUUUGAUUUAUUAUGUGUUUCAGUUGAAACAUCAUGUACAUACAUACACAUGCAGGCAAAGAAAGCUCCCACUUAUCAGGUGGAAAAACUGCAGAACUAGCAGACACUUGAAUUUACUUGCAGAUAAGACAAAGAAAGAGAUUGAUGUUUUUUCACAUUUCACGUGAGUCUUUAGAUUAUAUAUAAAUGAAUGGUUAGGAUUAAAUUAAUUAAAUAAAAAGUAACAUUUGUUUCUUCUAUUUAUUGUUUUUCUCUCCUCUACUUCCUUUUUUUUUCUUGUUGGGUCUUCCGUCUCACUUUCCCUCUGUUCUUUAAUUUUUACCAUGACCAUAGACAAAGGGACGUGUGAUUUGAAUGUUUGUCGACGAGGGAACAAUCAAUUUUCAUAUUUCUUUAAAUUUUUAAGGUGAAAUAAACUUUAAUUUCAUUUGAUGACUCUGGUUUGGUAAAAAAUUGUGCAAGAGAAAUUUAUGCAAGUUCAAAGCAACUAUAAUAUAGUUAAGGGAAAUCAAGAGUAAUUAGGGGUGGCUUGAAGUAGAAAAGAAUAAGCCGAAUCUCUAUAUAGGGGUACACAGAUUUGAUGACUCUCAAAUCCUAUUCCAUAAUGUUGUAGGAUGGGAAUUACUUUUAGGAGGCUCAAAAGUGACUUUAAAAAGAUAAAAACUAAUUUUGAUAUUUGUAUUUUUUUUAAAUCACUUUAGUAAAAUCAUCUCAUCCUACAAUAGAUUUGAAAAAUAUGGAAUGAGUAACUUUCAAAAUCUGAUUUUGAAAAUUAGUUUUAUAUCUUAUAUGAUUUCAUAUAUAUCCUCAUAAAUAUUAUAAAAAUCCAAAAUUAUCCUUAUUAAACCAAAAUUAUCCUUAUUAACUUUAAAGAUAUUUUUUGUAUUACCAAUUAUAUUGAGAUAACAAAAUAAAAAUAAAAUUAAUAGUAUAAAAUAUUUAUUUUAGUUAUCAAUUAUUUUAGAUACACGACAUAAAAAUAUUUUAUAUGCUUAUUUAUAAAUGUAUAAAUAAGUUUUAUUUAAUAUUAUAUCUAAUUCAGUCAUUUUUAUUUUUACAAAAAAUUAACAAUAUACAAGAUUCACCAAACAAAUAUGAUUGCUUUUAAUACUCACAAUACUUUUAAAAUUAAAUUUUAUCAAAUAUUUAACUGAUUAACUUCACAACUGAUUAUUUGUACAACACAUAUAACAUCAAUUAUUUUCAAAGUUACAACAUUACCAAACUGGCCCUAAAAAAAAUAGCCCAAAAUAACUUUUAGAAAUUAGAAUUUUUGAUAAUAUAAUUUUAUAAUAUACAAUACCAAAAAUAACCUUAUUUGUUAUACAUAUUUUUGAAAAUACCCAUUACGGUUGUUAAAAAUACCCACCAAACUUGAAUCCAAGCACGACCGGGGCAAUGUGGGCGAGGUACUACCCAGCCUGAGAUGAGGCUGGCCAGUCCUGGCCAUCAGUUGAUAAGCCCAAGGUCCAGUUUGGAACCCGAAUUUUAUAAAAAAAAAUUAUUAAAUAUUAUAUUAUUUUAAAUAUUAUAUUUAUUUGACUCAUCUAUUACAUAUAUUUAAAACCUUAAACAUUUAAAGUUCAUAUUUUUAUGUCCAAUUUCAUUAAAAAUUUUAAAAAUUAUAAAAUAAAUUAAAAACAUAUACAUAUAAUAUUAUAAAAUAAAAAAUCUAGAUUAAAAAACCUAGCCCAAUGUUUUUAAGCUUGGUUCGGUUGUCUAAAAAACAUAUCCAGACCGGGUCCGGGCAUUGCCAUCCCCAAGCCCGAACUUGGGUUUUGCUAUCGCUAAUACCCAUACAACAUAAUUAAAUAACAAAUGUUAAUUAUUUAUAAUUAAAAAAAAAAUUCUAGCACCGUCAAAGGAAGAUUAUUAUCCACCCGGGUAACUGCUCUGGUAGAAGCUAUCCAUGAACAAGAAAAUGUGAACUAGAAGAUACCCGACGAACACCAUUUAAUUUAGUUAUUUCAAUCGCUUCAAAGGUACUAACAAAAUUGGCUAUAGAGGUCAUAUGGCGGUGCACGAGCCACCAAAAUAUCGAAAGCUCCCGUUUCGCCUGCAGUAACUGUGGUAAUUUGAGUGCACCACCAUCAUUUUUAUGUAUUGCGGUAAUUGUGGAUUUUGACGCAGAAAUCUAGUCGUCUAUAAGGUUGACCAGGUUGUCUCGUCAACGCUCACACUGACUCUGACUGGAAUACAACACUUCACGUACUUACCCAAUUAAACAAAUCCAACAACUUGGAUUUGUCUCCUCCCUCCUUCUUUGCCUGCAUUCACAUAAACAAAUCAAGGGUGCCGGUGGCUUUUCCGGCGAAAACCUUCUAAUGCUUAAGUCAGUAUGCAGAGUUUCAGAAAAAACGUUGGAUCUUAGAUUAUGCAAGAUAAUAAUUGCUAAAUUGAAAAGGAGUGUUUUUUAUGGUUUUUAUGGAAAUGAAAUCUGAAAUGAAAAUGACAGAGUUUCCCCCCUCCCCCUUCUUUUUUUUUUAUAUUAAUCACGAGGUAUCCUUGGGAGGGCCCCAACUGUGGGAGGCACCUUUAAGUCCGUACCACAACCCAGACUAGUAGUCUCCACUCGAACCGAGAAGCACAUGUUCUCUCAACAAAGACGACUUCCCUGCCCCUUCUUUUUUUCCCCUUUUCUCUACCUUUUUCCCGGUUUUAUAGGCAGUCGUUCCCUACAUCUAGACCCUUCCCCCACAUCCUCCACACUCGGGUGAUCGUGGGUCGUUAUGGGCUGCGAAAACCGUGCGUACGUUGUUGUGCUUCCCCAAACGGUUUGGACCUGGCGAAAUUGCCGUGUUGAUGUGGGAUCACGCCCACCUUUCAAGUAAUUGGUAUCUGGUCGGGCGAAACUGCACCCAAAGAGUGCUCUGGGAUUAAGAUAUCUGCUUAUAGCUUGUUAAGCCGAGGAGAUUCUUCCUGGACCAAGUAACGAGGACAUGCACAUGAGCUGGUGCUCUUUUAAUUACCCAAACAGUGGAGUUUGAUUCUAGUGGCAAUGUACCCUACUAAGUCGCCAUUUGACGACAGCAUUACAGAGGCUUCCAUAAUUUGGUUGGUUUUGUGCCACUAUCGUACCUCCUUAAUUGGCCAGUGUGACUGCCAUGGUUGCAUAGAACAGAGAAAUUCAAAUCCGUUGGUAGUUGUAGUGCUUUAAUAAGACCAAUUAUUCACCUGCGCCGGCGAUGUUGUGAACAUCAGCAACAUUUUUCCAUUUCAAUUAUUUAAUUUUAUUUUUGUUAAUGAACAUUUUUAUAUUAAUAAUUUUCUGUUAUUAUAAUAGUACAACAGGAAACAAUUUUUUUGUCAUGUUUUAAAUGUGAAAGAUAUAGAUAAUAAUUAUAACUAUUAUUAAUUUAUUCAUUAUGGUAAUUUCAAUGUACAUAUUUCUUUUUACAAAUACGUUACCAAGCAUACAUGCUAAAGUAUUUAGUAAGUGGGGAGGUUAUAACCUAACAUUACCAAAUAUGUGGCUAAAUUAUUUAAAAAAUUGAACUUUUUAAAAUUAUAAAUUAUUUGAGAAACCAACGCAAUCCCAAACACACCGUUAAUAAUAUGUCUAUAUAUAGAAGAUGCUUUUAAACUUCAAAUGUCACAACUCCUUGAGUUGGUGAUUAGAAAUUUAGAAUCAUGGGAAAUUUCACUACUAUCAUGUUGAUUAUCCACUCUCUCUUUCUCUUUGUCUCCUCUGCCACCUCAUUGUCCAUCCCAAGAGGUCGUCAAACAUACAUUAUCCACAUGGACAAAUCGGCAAUGCCAGCUCCAUUUUCCGCCCACCAUCACUAGUACAUGUCCACUCUUUCAUCCCUCUCAUCACCUGAUGGUGAUACCCCAACCCAUCUUUACACCUACAACCAUGUCGUUGAUGGCUUCAGUGCCGUGUUGUCGCAGACCCACCUCGAUCAGGUCCAAAAAUUGCCAGGUCACCAUGCCACAUACAUAGAAACAUUUGGCCACCUCCAUUCCACCUACACCCCAAAAUUUCUUGGCCUAAAGAAAGAUGCAGGGUUAUGGCCAGCUUCAGGUUUUGGCAAUGACAUAAUUGUUGGUGUUCUUCAUACUGGAUUAUGGCCAGAGAGUGACAGCUUUGAAGAUGAAGACAUGCCCCCAGUGCCUGAUAGAUGGCGCGGAACGUGUGAAGUUGGUGUUAAUAGAAAACUGAUAGGGGCACGCUCAUUCAGCAAAGGGAUGAAGCAGUAUGGUUUGAACAUAUCAACAACAGAUGACUACGAUUCUCCCAGAGAUUUCUUGGGUCAUGGCACUCAUACAUCAUCAACAGCACCUGGCAGUUGCGUUCAAAAGGUUGAGUCCUUUGGAUAUGCUAAAGGAACAGCGAUUGGAGUUGCACCAAUGGCCAGGAUUGCUAUGUAUAAAAUAAUGUUCUUCUCCAAUGGCAGUCUUAAGGCAAUGGCAACUGAUAUUCUGGCUGGCAUGGAUCAAGCCAUGGCUGACGGUGUAGAUGUCUUGUCGUUGUCCAUAGGGUUCCCAGCGUCGACAUUUGAUACCAGCCCAAUUGCCACAAGAGCUUUUGCCGCACUGAAGAAAGGAAUUUUCGUUGAAUGUUCAGCAGGAAAUUUAGGACCUGACGCAUACUCUAUAUUCAACGGAGCUCUUGGAUUACAACGGUUGGUGCCGGAACUAUUGACAGAGAGUUGGCUGUUCGCAUAACUCUAGGAAACAGGGAGCUGACUGUUACCAGACAAUCUGUUUACCCUGAGAAUCUUUUUGUCUCAAAAGAACGUACAUACUUCUGAUAUGGAAAUAAAUCUAAAGAAAUUUGUGAUGUUAAUUCAUUAGACGCUAAAUUUUUAGCAGGCAAGUAUAUAUUUUGUGCAUAUGACUAUGAUGGUAACGUAACAGUAUAUCAGCAGUUCAAGGAAGUGCAGAGGAUUGGAGCCGCAGGAGCUGUCUUCAGUUCAGACUCAAGGCAAUACCUUUCAUCCAGUAAUUUCAGCAUGCCUUUUGUCACAGUAAACCCGAAAGAUGGGGAGUUAGUGAAGAAGUACAUAAUCAAUACAGAGAAUGCAAGCGUUAGUAUUAAGUUCCAAAUUACAAAAUUGGGCACUAAACGAGCUCCACAGGUGGCUUAUUUUUCAUCGCGAGGGCCUGAUAGCGAACCACCUUGGAUUCUGAAACCCGAUAUCUUAGCUCCUGGGGUUGAUAUCUUGGCUGCCUGGGUUCCCAAUAGGCCAGUUAAGCCAAUUCGUGAGAGUGAUUAUCUAUUUAGUGAUUAUGCUCUCAUGUCAGGCACAUCAAUAUCAUGCCCUCAUGUAGCUGGCAUAGCCGCGCUGCUUAAAGCAAUGCAGCGUGACUGGAGUUCUGCUGCCAUCCGUUCAGCAAUGAUGACAACUGCUUACUUGCUUGAUACUGCAAACAGUACGAUCACAGACAUAAGAAUUGGAGUUAGCGGAACCCCACUUGAUUUUGGUUCAGGGCAUGUAAAUCCUAAUAAAGCCAUGGAUCCAGGGCUUGUGUAUGAUAUUGAGGUCCAGGAUUAUAUCAACUACUUGUGUGCUUUAAACUACACAAGUCUUCAAAUUAGAGUUCUUACGGGGACAUCAAAUUUUACAUGCGAAAAUGCUAAUCUGGAUCUUAACUAUCCAUCUUUUAUGAUCAUUUUGAACAACACCAAAUCCGCAAGCUUCACCUUCAAGUGGGUGUUGACAAAUGUAGAUGAUACUAGUUCGGUAAAUACAGCUGCGGUGAAGGCUCCAGCAGGUAUGAAAGUUGUUGUGUAACCGGAAACAGCAACCUUUGAUAGAAAAUAUAGCAAAGCUGAGUUCAAUUUGACACUGAGCAUUGAUCUGGGAAUCACGGUGAGUCCAAAAUGGAACUAUCUUGGAAAUUUUGGAUAUCUGACAUGGCAUGAAAAUAUUGGGAAGCAUAUGGUGAGAAGCCCCAUUGUCUCUGCAUUUGCUAAUUCUACCAAGUAAACUUAAGUGUUGUUGGGAAUAUAUCAAAGACAAUAGGAUGUGGAAAAUGAAUCGAGUAAAUAAACAUUGAUAACAUUUUUUUAUAAAAAAAAAAAAAAAAGAAUUUGCCUUCGGAAAGUAUUAAUAAUAACUUGGGCACACAUUUUCUUCAGUAAAAUGAUAUCAGAAGAGACUAAGCAGCUUUUAUGUUUGAAAUAGGAAGUUCUUUUGAUCUUCUUUUUCAAUCCGAUCAAACAAUAGAGACACAAAAUCUUACGCCGUUAUCCAGAAAACGAAAUAAUGAAAAUAAAUAUCAGAGCUAACCAUGAGCAGUCACAUUAGUCUUCGAUUUAUGAUUUAUCAUGUGUUUACAACAAAAUUAUCAUUCACAUAUAUAUAUGCACAGCAAAGAAAACUUCCACUUUUCGGAUGAAACUUAAAGGCAUAUACUGAACCCUGAGUUUACUUAAAGACCACUUUAGUACGUAUUUGAUCGGUUACCCUCACUGGGGAUGAGUCUUACAAUUAGGAAUUUUCAAAGUAAAAAUUCAAAUCCAUACAGGAAUCAUAAACUUUCAUGUCAUCUUUUCUGAAUUCUGUUAGAAAAUGUAGAAGUUAAAAUUGAUUAAGAACCCCAGAGUCCGUAAAGCAUACCUUUACAGGCCCAUCUAAAUAAGUUAAAGGAUAGAAAAAAGGUUACAUGAACCCAGGGCCAGCUCGGUGAUGCAUGAGGAGUUGGGCAGAAUUUAUAAAAUGGGCCUUUAUUGUAAUUAUGAAAUCAAAAGAAGAUUAUUUUUCGAGUUAAAAUGCCAUUUUAUUCUUCAAGCUUUUAAAGAUUAGUCCAGACUAAUUCUUUCAUCUUUUUGGAAUUUUUUACAAAUCAUAUGGAUAGUUUAUGGCAGGUACUUACCGUGAUUACAAAAAAUAAAUAAAUACCUUAGUUAACAAAUGAUAACAGUUAGGCGACCAUUAUCAAAAUUUUGUUUCAGAGACAAUAGUCAUCUAUUUUUUUUUUAUAUGAUAUUACAUUAAAUACUUUAAAUUUUUGUCAGCAUGUAGGUGUCAAGUGACUCGUUGUUUAUCAUUUUAUUUGUAAAUGACAAGUCAUUCAUGUUUUAAAUCUACAAUCAAUAUGCGGUCCUGUACAUUCAAACAAUUGACAUUUAUAAAAUCAGGAUUUUGUGCUUUAUAGUAUUUUUUACACACAUAUAUAGAGGGAUAGGAUUGAGAUUUCUUCUUUUUUAACAUAAUUAUUUACACAUAUUUCUAACCAGUAGAUUACAUCUCAUUUAACGGUCAAAAUUAAAACUAAAUUAUAUCUUUAAAGAACUAUUUCAUAAAAUAGUUGACCCCACUAAUAAUAAUUAAUUUUUUUCUUUUCUCCUUCCUCCUUCCGACUUCUUUGUUCCUUUCUCUUCCAAGAAUGUUCCUAUUUUGUUUUUAAUUGUGUCUUCUUGAAAUUAUAUUAAAUUUUAAAAUUAGAACUAUAUGAAUCUUGUUAUGAUAAUUAUCAAUGUUAAAAGAAAUGCAUACAGAAACUUUUUGUAUUGCAAUGAUAUUAAGUACCCUGUCAAGAUUUAAACUUGAAUCAAACUUUUUUUUUUUCAAAUUUUUUUUUCAGGAAAUGAACUAUUGAAUAAAAUCUUCUGAAAACUAGAAGAAAUCCAUUAGUAGAAACAAAUAGAGGAGCAUUUCAAAUAAGGGCCAAACUAUUAAUAUCAGCAAGUAAUUCUUGCACCAAUUCUGAAUCUAUCCCUUACUCCUGUGGACGAGCUGCCUUUUAUGAUGUUUUAUGCUUUAGGAUCCGUAGGGAGAGGAAAACAAAGAGGUUAUAGAUCAUAAAGAGCAAGAAGAGACAAAAUAGAGAUAAUUAAUUAUAAAUUAAGAUUUUUAUCCAAUUUAUUGAUAGAAAAAAUAAAUAAAUAGGAAGAGACAGAAACAAAGAAAGAAGAAGUUGAGAGAGGAAGGAGAGGGAAAAAAAUUAAAUAUUACUAACGGGUCCACUAGCUUAUUAAUCAAUUCUUUAAAAAAAAAUACAAUUAGGUUUGUUUUAAUCUUCACCAUUAGAUGAAAUAUAAUUUAAUGGUUACAAAUGUGUAUAAAUAAUUGUGUACAAAAGAAAGGCUCCCGAUUUUAUCCGCAUUGCUCGAGCCAGAGCCAGAGCCAAGCAUUUUUCACAUCCCUAAUUAUUUACAUCCACUAUUAUAAAUUUUAUUUGGCAUGUGAAAUAUAAUUUAAUGGUUACAAAUGUGUGUAAAUAAUUAGGGAUGUGAAGGUACAAAGGAACCUCUUCGACAGUGCGAGUAGUAGAUAAUCGAAUAUGUGUGGUCGAUCAAGGGACUCAUGAGGAGAGGCUUGUACCAAGUCUUCUAGUUGACUUGGUUAGAAGUCAACCAGUGGAUUCCCUCCGAAAAAUCAGGAUAGAAGGCUGAUUCACUAACAGUCAUGUAGCAAACUUGGGACAGUCAUUUUGGUUGUUUAUAAAAAUCCCAUAAAAUUCAAAUAAGAUAAGUUAUCAUUUUCUCUCUCCACCACUGAAUUAACUUACUCUCACUCAUAAUUUACCUUUCUUUUUAGAAAUUCUUUCUUCAAUUUUUUUUUUUUUAGUGAUUUUCUUAGAAUCUUUGAGUUUAAGGCAAUAAAAGACAAGCCACGUGAGUUGUGAUAAAAGUUUUUCUAGAAAUCUCAAAUAACUGACUUGAGCGUCGAAGGAUUCAUGCCAGCAAAAUCCCCGAUGUCCCCUAACCGUUCUUUGUGAACACGUGAUUUAACAGGAAAUGCUUGGAUUAAAGGUGCGAAUGCAAACCUCUCCCUAACUAAAAUGAAUUUAAGAGUUAUCUCAGGCGUCUGGUUGCUCUACAACUCGACUAGAUUUCUGCACCAACAUAACACAUAGCCAACAUGUCAUUUUUAUGUUUUACAUUACAAAUGAUGCAUCAUCUAUUAUUUAGAAUUCCACAUUAUUUUAGUAAAAAUAAGAGAUCGUUUGUUUUUUUAAUAAUUACAUGAUAUAAUAAUCACUACAAUUGUAAUUACUAAAAGUAAUACAAGUAAUCCAAAUACUUGAGUUUCAAUUUGAUUCCCAACACUUGAGUUUAAAUUUAAAUCAUUCAUGUAUUAGAUAAUGAAUUUUAAUAACUUAUAAAAUUACUUAUUUGCCAUCCAAAUAGGUGAAUUACUCAAUUUGGAUGGUAAUCACAGUAAUAACUCCAGUUACAAAUACAACUAUUUAUUACAAUUAAAACUACAAUUAUAAUUAUAGUAACAAUAACAAUAUAAUAAACUUUGGUCCUAUAAAUAUACUUGUGUGGCAUAACAUUUUAGACAUGAUAUCUAUAAACUUCAUUGAUUUUAAUGUCGUUGCACAUGGAUUUCUUCAUUUCUUCAAGAAUACUUCUAGAUUUAAGAAAAAACUAAGUCAUGAGACGUAUUUUUUCUGAAAAUUAUUAUUAAAAAAAGUUUUAUCAAUUAACUAAGUGUAGCUUUGAGUGCAAAAUGCAAAAAAGAGAGUAAGAAAUCCUUUUAAGAGCCAACAAAAAAAAGAGUAGCUUUGUUGUUGUUUUACCAAUCAACAUGUUUUAAAGAACGACUAUUAUCAAAUUUUUCUUCGGAAACGACGAGUCGUUUAUUUUUUAUUUCCAUUUCAUCCAGGAAUUGCAAAAGAGUAAUGAUAUAGCCACAAACUCUUGUACAAACUUAUUUUGUACAAACUGACGUGGCAUUAAUUCAUUGGUUGAAUGAAAAUAUAAAAUAAUAAAAACAAAUCAUGUGGGCCAAGUGAUAUUUAAUUCAACCAAUCUUAUCAUGCCACAUCAGUUUGUACAAAAUAAGUUUGUACAAGAGUUUGUAGCUAUAUCAUUACUCAUUGCAAAAACAUAGGCUAAUUCUGGGUAUGACAAUGCUCAAAUGAUCAAAUCUAGCCCAGGCAAUACAUCCGAGCUGGGCUGGACUUUUUAAUUCGGGCCUAAAAGAUCCAGAUUUUAUGUUUUAUAUAAUUGUACAUAUAUUUCUUUAUUUACUUAUAUAUUUUCUUUCUUUAACUUAUUUACAAUUCUAUAAUUUUAAAAUUUUUAAUUUAACGAAAUUAGGCUUGAAAAUAUGUUCUCUAAAUGUUUAAAAUUUCAAAUAUUUGUAAUCGGCAGGCCAAAUAAAUAUAAUUAUUCAAAAUAACAUAUAUUUUUUAAAUACUUUUUUCAUAAAAUAUGGGCUUCUGGGCCGGACCACAGCCUUAUCAAGUGAAGCCCAAGUCUGGUCUAGCCUUAUUCCCAAGUUAGGUCUUAUCCCAUAUAGCCCUAUCACUCGGGCCUGAUUGCACAUUUUUCACAUCUGUAAUAAGAUGUCAUUUUUCUUUUUUUAUUAAACGAUAAGUGAUAUGUGUGUGAAAUAUCAAUAAAAUCCAUAGAUUUGUUUGAUAUAAAGAAUAAAAUAUUUAUGAAAAUCCUUUAAGUAACUUUACUUCUAUAUAAAAUUCAUCAAUUGGUAGUUCAUUUUGAGAUUCAACAUUAUUAUGGUGAAAAUGUAUGGAUACCCAGGCGUGCAGCGAGUUAAGCUUUGGGAUUAUUUGCCGUUAUAUAGCAGUCAUAAAAGCUCAUUUGUGACGGCCAAGGACGGUCACAUAAACCACUUUUUUUUGGGUAGCUUAUACAAUGUACUUCAAUGAUAUUAUUGAAUAAAGACAAAUUGUUAACAUUUACAGUAAUUAGUAAUAAUUAAUUUUUGUAUAUAUAAGAUAAAUACGUAAUAUCCCUUUUUUUCCCCGGAGUUUCAUGAGCUUUUGAUUUUUUUUUUUUUUGAGGAUCUUUUCAAGCAUUUGAAAUUUCUUAAGGGCAUUCAUGAGAAUUUAAAAAUUUUUAGGGGCUUUCAAUGGAAUUUGGAAUGUAUGCAUAGUUAGUCAACUAGUGAACAAAAUUGAUCAUAUUACAUAGAACAUCAAUGGCUCGAGGUUAUUACUUUGUAAUUAAAGUAAUUUGGAAGCUUAGCCAUAUUACAAGUUUUCAGUUUAUGCAUGCUUCGUUGAAGUUCUUUAGAAAUGUGAAGAAUAACUCCAAAUUUCUUUCACUUAUUUAAUUGAAAAAUAUCAUGUUAUUGCAACAAGUCAAAAGGAUUCCUUCCGAGCCAUAAAAUGUCAAAAAGUGAGAGAAGAACAAUGUCUUGAUGCCAAAUAGAAACAGGCAAUUAAGGAUCUAUUCCCAAUUCUUCUUCAUAUGCCUCAAAGAUCCUUUGUAAUAUGAAGACAAUCAUUCUCAAAUUCUAACUUAGAAAAUAUUGUUUGCCUUAUUCUUUGUUCUAAUAAUGAAUGACUCAUGUGGAAGUUCACCCUAGCUAUUAACAGAUCCACAUGCUAAAAAUUAAAAAAAAUAAAAUAAAAUAAGAGCUAUUUUGUACAGUAGCAUCAACUCCCCAAACUACUUGGGGCCAGGGCCUGCUUUUAAUAAUAUGACUUGGUCAUUCCUCUUGUUAAUCUUUAAUUUUAAGAGCAGUUUAGUAGUGAAGAAGCUUGAUAUAAUAAGGUCAAAAUAUCACAUUAUAAUAGAGAAGCAAGACGAAGCUUCCCUUGUUUUCAUUGAACAGUCCUGGCAAAUCAGUCCUCAUAAUAGGUUUAACGAAAAAAAUGAAAUGACAUCUAUUGAUUUCAUCGCCAUAACCCAGAACACAACAUGUGUAUAUAUAGAAUUGAUGCUUUAAGAACUUCAAAUUGUCAUAUCCCCUCAACUCCAAGUUUGUGAGAAAAAUCAUGGCAAAUUUCAAUCCUUUCAUGUUCAUGAUCCUCUUGCUAUUCCUCUAUGUAUCGUAUGCCACCUCAUUGUCCAUGUCAGGAGAUCGUAAGACUUACAUUAUCCACAUGGACAAGGCAGCAAUGCCGGCUCCCUUCUCCCACCACCAUCACUGGUACAUGUCCGUACUUUCAUCCCUAUCAUCAUCUGAUGAUGGUGAUGGUGAUGCCCCAACCCAUCUCUACACCUACAACCAUGUCAUGGAUGGCUUCAGUGCUGUGUUGUCCAAGAACCAACUCGAGCAGCUCCAGAAAAUGCCAGGUCACCAUGCCACAUACCUGGAAUCAUUUGGCCACCUCCAUACUACCCGCACCCCACAAUUUCUUGGCUUAAAGAAACAUGCAGGGGUAUGGCCGGCUGCAGGCUUUGGCAGCGACAUAAUUGUCGGUAUCCUCGAUACCGGAAUCUGGCCGGAGAGUAAGAGCUAUGAUGAUAGAGGCAUGCCGCCGGUGCCUGAGCGAUGGCGCGGCGCAUGUGAAGUUGGUGUUGAGUUUAAUACUUCUCACUGCAACAGAAAGCUGAUAGGGGCACGCUCAUUCAGCAAAGGGAUUCGGCAGAACGGCCUGAACAUAUCAACAACAGAUGACUAUGACUCUCCAAGAGAUUUUUUCGGUCACGGAACUCAUACAUCAUCAACAAUAGGUGGCAGUCGUGUUCAAGAUGUUGAUCACUUCGGAUACGCUAAAGGAACAGCAAUUGGAGUUGCACCAAUGGCUAGGAUUGCAAUGUACAAAGUUCUGUUCUCCAAUGACAAUCUUGCUGCAGCGGAAACUGAUGUUCUCGCCGGCAUGGAUCAAGCGAUAGCUGACGGGGUGGAUAUAAUGUCGUUGUCCUUGGCAUUCCCAGAGACAACAUUUGAUGAGAACCCAAUAGCCAUUGGAGCUUUUGCAGCCUUGAAGAGAGGAAUUUUUGUUGCGUGUUCAGCUGGAAAUUCAGGACCACGUCCGUACUCCAUUCGAAAUGGAGCUCCGUGGAUUACGGCAGUUGGUGCAGGAACUGUUGAUAGAGAGUUUGCAGCUCACGUCACCCUUGGCAAUGAAGAGCUAACAGUCAUUGGAAAAUCUGUGUACCCAGAGAAUCUGUUUGUCUCCAGAGAACCUAUAUACUUCGGAUAUGGAAAUAGAUCCAAAGAAAUUUGUGAACCCAACUCAACUGACUCUAAAGCUGUUGCAGGCAAGUACAUCUUUUGUGCAUUUGACUAUAACGGCAAUGUAACGGUAUAUCAGCAGUUAGAGGAAGUGCGCCAAUCUGGCGCCGCCGGGGCUAUCUUCAGUGCAGACUCGAGGCAACAUCUU
rnacentral:lncRNA from 1 species